UACUCUAUCGCAGCCUCGGAGCCCU
rnacentral:siRNA from 1 species